rnacentral:lncRNA from 1 species
UUUCCAUCAGCACACCUCAUUGGGAUCAUCUUCAUAUAUUAGAGAAAUUCUAUACACAUUGAGCCUCACAAAGGAAGGUGUCUGGGUAUCAGAUUCUCUCUUCCCAGGAAGUGCCUUUGGAAAUUUACUUACUGCCUACUGAGAAGCCCUGCAAGCUGAAAGGCUAGCUCUGAAGGUAUGUUCAUCAACAUCGUAGAAGAAGAGGACACGUGUUUCGCACUGCACUCUUUAAGAGGAGAAACGGAAAUAACAGGGAAAAGUUUUUAAAACUUCAGCAGGUUUCCCUUUGCAGUUUCUGACUUAGCCAGAAGACAUCAGGCAAAAGGAACAUCUCCAUGUGAGCCAACAUUUCAGAAAGGCUUCAGGGGUGUUGGAGAAUGAAUGCAGUGAUUUUCUGAAGAAAAGUAGGGGAGUAUUCAAAUUAAUAAAGAGAACCAAUGUUAUUUUAUCUUAUCUACUUGUUUAUCUCCUGUAGGGAAAUCUUUUUCAGAUAAUAUUUAUGGAACAGAAAACAUGUAUUUACUUGAAACUCUGCUGUCAUGUUGAAUAUUGAUUCUGGAGUCCAUUUUCCAUUGAAAAGAUUUUGAUACUAAUAUGCUAUACAAACAGAAUUUUGGUGGAGAGGGUGUCUUAGUCUGUUUUGUGUUGCUGUAACCUGAGAAUACCUGAGACUGGUCUUUCUUUCUUUCUUUCUUUCUUUCUUUCUUUCUUUCUUUCUUUCUUUCUUUCUUCCUUCCUUCCUUUUCUUUCUUUCUUUCUUUCUUUUUCUUUCUUUGUUUCUUUCUUUGCUUUCUUUCUUUCCUUUCUUUCUUUCUUUCUUUGCUUUUUUCCUUCCUUCCUUCCUUCCUUCCUUCCUUCCUUCCUUCCUUCCUUCCUUUCUCUCUCUCUCCCUCUCUCUCUCUCUUUUUUUUUUUUUUUGACAGAGUCUCGCUCUGUGGCCAGGAUGGAGUGCAGUGGCGCGAUCUCUGCUCACUGCAACCUCCAACUCCUGGGUUCAAGUGAUUCUCCUGCCUCAGCCUCCGAGUAGCUGGGAUUACAGGUGUGCGCCACCAUGCCCCGCUGGAGACUGAAUCAUUUAUAAAGAAAAAGUUUUAUUUGCCUCACAGUUCUGGUGUCUGGAAAGUUCAAGAUUGGGCAUCUACACUGGGAAAGGUCUUAGGCUGCUUCUGCUCCUGGUGGGAGGUGAAGGGGGGCUGUUGUGUGCAGAGGUCACAUGGUGAGAGAGGAAGAAAGGGUGGGGGGAGAUGCCAGGCUCUUUUUAACAACCAGCUCUCACGGGAAUGAAUAGAAUGAGCACUCACUCACCCCCCUCACCCAGGGAGGGCAAUCAUCUAUUCAUGAAGGAUCCACCCUCAUGACACAAACACCUCUUAUUAGGUCUACCUCCAACACUGGGAAUCACAGUCCAACAUGAGAUUUGCUUGGGAUAAACAACUGUUAGAGGUGUUUGAACCAGAGCAACUCCAUCUUGAAUAGGGGCUGGAUAGACUAAGGCUGAGACCUACUGGGCUGCAUUCCCACAUGGUUAAGGCAUUCUAAGUCACAAGAUGAGACAGGAGUUUGGCACAAGAUACAGGUCAUAAAGACCUUGCUGAUAAAACAGGUUGCAGUAAAGAAGCCGGCUAAAACCCACCAAAACCAAAAUAGAGACAAGAGUGACCUCUGGUUGUCCUCACUGCUACACUCCCACCGCUGCCAUGACAGUUUACAAAUGCCAUGGCAACAUCGGGAAGUUACCCUAUAUGGUCUCAAAAGGGGAGGCAUGAAUAAUCCACCCCUUGUUUAGCGUAUCAUCAAGGAAUAACCAUAAAAAUAGGUAACCAGCAGCCCUCGGAACUGCUCUGUCUAUGGAGUAGCCAUUCUUUUAUCCCUUUACUUUCCUAAUAAACUUGUUUCACUUUACUUUACAGACUCGUCCUGAAUUCUUUUUUGCAUGAGAUCCAAGAACCCUCUCUUGUGGUCUGGAGCAGGACCCCUUUGUGCAUGCCUUGUAAUUUUUUGUUGAAAGCUGGACCUGAUAUACAGCAUAAAAGGAACCAAGAAUGGUACCUGUCAGGCCUCUGAGCCCAAGUUAAGCCAUCAUAUCCCCUGUGACCUGCACGUAUACAUCCAGAUGGCCUGAAGCAACUGAAGAUCCACAAAAGAAGUGAAAAUAGCCUUAACUGAUGACAUUCCACCAUUGUGAUUUGUUCCUGCCCCACCCUAACUGAUACGAUAUGUUCUCCCCUGACCUUAAGAAGGUACUUUGUAAUAUUCUCCCCACCCUUGUGAAUGUACUUUGUAUGCCUAUCCCAAAUCUAUAAGAACUAAUGAUAAUCCCACCACCCUUUGCUGAAUCCUUUUUCGGACUCAGCCCGCCCGCACCUAGGUGAAAUAAACAGCCUUGUUGCUCACA